CCUACGGGGGGCAGCAGUGAGGAAUAUUGGUCAAUGGUCGGGAGACUGAACCAGCCAAGCCGCGUGAGGGAGGAAGGUACAGAGUAUCGUAAACCUCUUUUGUCAGGGAACAAAGGCGGGGACGUGUCCCCGGAUGAGUGUACCUGAAGAAAAAGCAUCGGCUAACUCCGUGCCAGCAGCCGCGGUAAUACGGAGGAUGCGAGCGUUAUCCGGAUUUAUUGGGUUUAAAGGGUGCGUA
rnacentral:rRNA from 1 species